rnacentral:lncRNA from 1 species
CACACAUCAGAUGUGUGUGUGUGUUCGACGCCAGAGCCAAGAGAAGAAGGGGAACCCUUUCUAAUCACACAAAUUCAUCCAAUUGAAGCCCUAAUCAUGGCCAUUGCUCAUGCAUGUUGGUGAUUUCUUGAUCAUCUAGACUUACUAAAGCUUAAGGAACGUGUCAAGGAGAGCUCAAGCAUAGGAGGAUAACGGGUCAAGAUAAGGCAAGGUGACAAAUACACUUAUUGGAGUACUCAAGCUUCGGUAUAUCAACCGUGGUCUAUGGUACUACUCGGACUUCUUCUACCUUUAAGGAUGAUAAGCGGGCGUGGAUCGAGUCGAAGAGCAAGGAUUGUACGGAAAGAACGGCUACAUAGUUUGAAAUACGUAAUGCUUUGAAGCGUUAAUUUAAUGUAAAUAUUGUAAACCUCUUCCAGUAAAUGCUUAACAUUUUCGUAUUUGAGCUUUUAUGUAAGUAAUGUGUCUAAUA